rnacentral:lncRNA from 1 species
GGGAGGGAGGACUGCUGUGUAACUUAAAAGCCAACGAAUCUGACCAUCUAGUAACAGGAAUUAGCUAGUGAGGGGGAGGGAGGACUGCUGUGUAACUUAAAAGCAAACGAAUCUGACCAUCUAGCUUCUGAUCUCUGAUGGGAGAUGGCGUUCAUUCCUUCACUGAGCACGGACCUGUGGGGUGCCCAGCAUGGGAUGGUGCUCCCUGGCUCCUGUCCUCACGGGGCUUCCAGUCUACAAGCUUCAUCUCCUGUGUCAAUUCAGGCAAGAGGAAGAGAGAGGAGGAAGCUUCCAGAUCCAAGCCAGAGGAGGUGGAUGCAGCACCCAUCGCCCACAGCUUUGGGGCCUGGUCCAGCCUCUACCUGGCCGAGACACCCAACCCCAACCCCACCCACAUGGGCAUGCAGAAGAGUCUGAGACGGUGCACACUGACCUGCGGCAGAGUUACAGGUGACAUUUGUUUUGUUUCUACAUCCUAAACCUUUCUACGGUAGAUGAACGUGUUGUAAUAGGACUUUUGCUGCUACUUAGAGAUGCACGUUGCUGAUGCACCCUCUGCAAGACCUUCUGGCACCGUGGUCCUCAGCCUUUUUGGCACCAGGGACAUGUUUUGUGGAAGACGAUUUUUCCACAGACUGGGGGUGGGGGGAUGGUUUGGGGAUGAAACUGUUCCAUCUCAGAUCAUCAGGUAUUAGGGUCUCACAAGGAGUGGGCAACCGAGAUCCCUCGAAAACACAGUUCACAAUAGGGAUUGUGUUCCUAUGAAAAUCUAAUGCCGCAGCUGAUCUGACAGGAG